rnacentral:rRNA from 1 species
UUGAACGCUGGCGGCAGGCCUAACACAUGCAAGUCGAGCGGCAGCGCGGGGCAACCUGGCGGCGAGCGGCGGACGGGUGAGUAACGCGUAGGAAUCUACCCAGUAGCGGGGGAUAGCCCGGGGAAACUCGGAUUAAUACCGCAUACGCCCUAAGGGGGAAAGCAGGGGAUCGUAAGACCUUGCACUAUUGGAAGAGCCUGCGUUGGAUUAGCUAGUUGGUAGGGUAAAGGCCUACCAAGGCGACGAUCCAUAACUGGUCUGAGAGGAUGAUCAGUCAGACCGGAACUGAGACACGGUGCGGACUCCUACGGGAGGCAGCAGUGGGGAAUAUUGGACAAUGGGGGCAACCCUGAUCCAGCCAUGCCGCGUGUGUGAAGAAGGCCUUCGGGUUGUAAAGCACUUUAAGUGGGGAGAAAGGUUCGCCGGUUAAUACCCGGCGGAAGUGAUGUUACCCACAGAAUAAGCACCGGCUAACUCUGUGCCAGCCGCCGCGGUAA